AUGGCUCAGGACGAACGCUGGCGGCGUGCCUAACACAUGCAAGUCGAGCGGGAUCCAUCCAGUAGCAAUACUGGUGAAGAUCUAGCGGCGAACGGGUGAGUAACACGUGAGAAACCUGCCCCGGACUCUGGGAUAACACGAGGAAACUCGUGCUAAUACCGGAUACCUUCUUUUGGUCGCAUGGCCAGCUGAAGAAAGAUUUAUCGGUUUGGGAGGGUCUCGCGGCCUAUCAGCUAGUUGGCGGGGUAACGGCCCACCAAGGCAUCGACGGGUAGCUGGUCUGAGAGGACGAUCAGCCACACUGGGACUGAGACACGGCCCAGACUCCUACGGGAGGCAGCAGUGGGGAAUCUUGCGCAAUGGGCGAAAGCCUGACGCAGCAACGCCGCGUGCGGGAUGAAGGCCUUCGGGUUGUAAACCGCUUUCAGCAGGGAAGAAAUUGACGGUACCUGCAGAAGAAGCCCCGGCCAACUACGUGCCAGCAGCCGCGGUAACACGUAGGGGGCGAGCGUUGUCCGGAUUUAUUGGGCGUAAAGAGCUCGUAGGCGGUUCGGUAAGUCGGGUGUGAAACCUCCAGGCUCAACCUGGAGACGCCACCUGAUACUGCUGUGACUAGAGUCCGGUAGGGGAGUGUGGAACUCCUGGUGUAGCGGUGAAAUGCGCAGAUAUCAGGAAGAACACCAGCGGCGAAGGCGGCACUC
rnacentral:rRNA from 1 species